CACAAAACAAGAUACUGUAAGGUUUUAUUUUUUUAUUUAUUGAGGGAGGGGGUGGACGGAGGAAAGGCUAAGCAGGAGUAUCAGGGUGGUGAAGAGGAGGAAAAGGUGUUCAUUUUCUACAGGGAGAUGUUUACUAUUUCCAUGAGACAGCCAAGAAAAAUUAAGAUUUAUGGUAGAUUCUGUAAUUCUAGGUCUAUGGCAUUGCAUGGGCAGAGAGAGGCACAAGCAAGGAGUAACAGUACUUCAGAUAAACCUUUAGAAGGAUCUACCAACAAAAUUAUUUCAUCUUUUCACAUUUCUGUGAAACCUCGUGAUGGAUUUGGAGCUGCCUGAAUCUGAGUUCCAUCCUGAGCUGGAACUCUAUUCCUCAUAUUGUACCUCCCAAGUUCUUUGCUGUGACCUGAGCAGGUUUUGUCCAAAGAUAUUUUAAUCAUUAUCACUCGUCACUCCAAAAUGGUCAGACACAGUUCAGAGCUGUAUUCUUCCUGUGAUUUUUGUUGGUCAACAGAGGGCCAGAGACAGAUCUGUACAUCACUUCAGUCCAACAAACCCUGUUGUGAGAGGCUUCCCUGGCAUUUAAGUGAGAUCCAUCACUGUAACAUGCACCUCCCAAGUGUUAUCACUGAAUUGUUUGCCAGCGUAUGUCUGAAUCAAAGAGAAGGGGCAGAAAGUGUCCUGGCUGAUGUGCAACCUUUUAAUGAUUUUCUUCUGCAAUCACUCACAGAAUGCCAUUUGAGGAGCUGUGAAAGAAUGACUUUUAAAACCCAAGCCAUUCUAUGAUUCUGUGAUUGUAAAACAAGACCUCAGACCUUCAUGAUCAUUUUCUUUACAUCAAAAGCUCAUUCUGAAUCUCAAGUGUAUUAAUUGCUCAAUCUUGUUAAUUCUUCAGUCCAAAAAAAAAAAAAAAAAAAAAAAAAAAAGAAUUAAUCCAAAACAAAAAGAACCCAAAUCUUUGAAAAAUAACCUAACUAGUCAGUGAUCC
ensembl:lncRNA